GUUUUGCAGAAUGCCUAGGGGGUGACGGGAAAUGUUAUUCUAUCAUAAACCAAUCUGACUGGGGUGUAGAGUGUGUACAGUAUUCCUGCAGUAGGACGAAAGGAGUUCUUCAGCUUUCAUCACAUUCACCGAACUUAUUUUCGAGGAUAGUGUUUAACGUGUCUAUUCCUUUCCAACUGCUCUCGUGUCGAUUUGUCUUUUCUUUUAUUAAAUUGUUGAUGUUUUCAAGUGAGAGAAGAACAAAUUCAAGUCUGAUAUAUUUGCCACAAUUCACUUUGGCAUUAUUUCUAUACAUACUAAAAUUACUUUGUGGACAAUAUUCGAAAUACUGCGUUUGAUUGACGAAUACUAGAUGUGCGAAUCGCUUUCUAUGUAAAAAAAACAUAGCCGUAUAUCUAUAUCCAGAUUUUCAUACGUACGACACUUUUCUAAAAUACCUUCAUCCGGUGCUCUCAAGUCAUAAAGUUUGAAAGCAGAAUGUAUAAAACGAUUGGGAACAUAAUACCCAAAAGACAUGAACAGAACAACAGAAGUAUCACAGGGUCAACUUUACCAGACCUGACAACUAUCCCUAUUUAUGGUGGAUAUCCCCCAAAAGAGGUCUUGGCCUGAAUUUUGAAAUUCUUAAUCAUAUAAACUGAACACCUAAAAACAGGCAUUCAAAUAAGUUAAAAGGGCAUUUAAGCACAUAUAUAUAUAUAUACCCAUUCAAACAAUAUAGUAGUGAUUAAAAACACUUAUGACAAUAUAAGAGGAGCAUUAUGUCCUCCUGCACUUAAAAUCCACCAUGGAGAUUUUGAAAAGUUGGCAGGUACGGGGUUGCAACUUUAGUUCAAAGUACAGUUACAUGAUUUAUGAACUGGAAUUUUAAUGUGAGACAUAAUGAGUCAACUUGAAUUAGGCCUUUAUGGAAAUACUGUCGUCUUGGCAGAUGUUUGAAUCGGGGACAAAUAGUUAAUCAGCAACGGUAACACUCAGUGGAUUUAAAGACGCAUCUUGGCAGUGUCACUCUGUUGGUUCUCAAUGGGAUGAAAAUACAGAAAGUCAGUGUGUGACCAAAUCGUGUAACGUCGAAGGUUUAACUUAAUUAUUUCGAAAAGAUAAUUAAACAUGAAUGCAGAGAUAUACAAGGUAAAUGUCGUCAAGUCGGCGAUACUGGAUUUAAUGUUAAAACGAAUGGUUUACUGUACGUUGGCUGCACGUGUAAUUACGAGGACGAGAAAGUUAUGUACCAGUGAGUGUCAAUCAGCCUCUGAACUCCCCUAGGAGAUGUAGACAAUUGACAACUUCGUUGAC